AGCUGGAUGCAGUUUUUGAAGUAGACUGAUCUCACCUACCAGACAUGGCAGAAAGUUUCCGUGUUAUUGCACAAAUACCGGCAGAAGAAACAACUUCAAAGGAAGCUUGAGGCAGCUGUUCUGUGUGUGGAAGGCUCGUAUGUGUGUGUGAGGUGGAUUAUCAGCUGAUACUGUAGGAACACCAGCAAAAAGAAUGCCUGAGACACCUGGAGGUACAGUAUAUAUUAAGUCUACAUGAAAAAAAAUAUGAAAAAAAAUAUUUCCAAACAGGAAAUAUAUAAUGAAAGCUGAUA
rnacentral:lncRNA from 1 species